AAAGGAAUUGACGGAAAGGCACCACCAGGAGUGGAGUCUGCGGCUUAAUUUGACUCAACACGGGAAAACUCUGAUCCGGACAUAUGAGGAUUGACAGGUUGAAGUCCUUUCUUAUUAGGUGGAGGGUAGUGCAUGGCCGAUUUCAGUUCGUGGAGUGAUUUGUCUCGUUAAUUCGGAUAACGAACGAGACCUAAGGCCAUAAAUAGUUAAGUGUCCAGUAAAAUGGAGUCGUUCUUCUAGUAGGUUAUACCUACUGUUAUGGAAUCACUAAGCUUCUUAAGGUGACCGCGUCUUAUUAAAACCAAGGCGAGGAGGGUUUAGGCCAUAACAGGUCAGUGAUGCUCUGAGAUGUUCUAGGCUGCACGCGUACUACAAUAGUAGCACCAACAAGCUAAUACUUUAUAGUCCUUAUCCUAAAAGGAUUGGGAAAUCUUAUGAAACGCUAUUAUGACAGGGAUCGAAGAUCGGAAAAUCUUCGUCAACGAGGAAUUCCUAGUAAGCGUAGUUCAUCAUACUGCAUUGAUUACGUCCCUGCCUUUUGUACACACCGCCCGUCGCUCCUACCGAUGGAAUGGAAAGAUGAACCUGCUGGACUACUGUCGCAAGACGUUGUAGAAAAGCAGUUAAAUCUUUUCAUUUGUAGGAAGGAAAACUCGUAACAA
rnacentral:rRNA from 1 species